rnacentral:rRNA from 1 species
AUUGAACGCUGGCGGCAGGCCUAACACAUGCAAGUCGAACGAGUGGCGGACGGGUGAGUAACGGCUGGGAAACUGCCGGAUGGAGGGGGAUAACUAUUGGAAAGGGUAGCUAAUACCGCAUACCAUCGGAUCUGCCGAGGUCGGAUUAGCUAGUAGGCGGGGUAACGGCUCACCAAGGCGACGAUCCCUAGCGGGUCUGAGAGGAUGAUCCGCCACACUGGAACUGAGACACGGUCCAGACUCCUACGGGAGGCAGCAGUGGGGAAUAUUGCACAAUGGGCGCAAGCCUGAUGCAGCCAUGCCGCGUGUGUGAAGAAGGCCUUCGGGUUGUAAAGUACUUUCAGCGGGGAGGCGUUACCCGCAGAAGAAGCACCGGCUAACUCCGUGCCAGCAGCCGCGGUAAUAC